rnacentral:rRNA from 1 species
GAGACCGAUAGCGAACAAGUACCGUGAGGGAAAGAUGAAAAGCACUUUGGAAAGAGAGUUAAACAGUACGUGAAAUUGUUGAAAGGGAAACGAUUGAAGUCAGUCAUGUGGUUUGAGGUUCAGCCGGUUCUGCCGGUGUAUUCCUCAGACUACAGGCCAGCAUCAGUUUCGACCGGUGGAAAAAGUUGGAGGGAACGUGGCAUCCUCGGAUGUGUUAUAGCCCUCUUUCACAUGCAUCGGACGGGACUGAGGAACGCAGCGUGCCUUUAUGGUCGGUCUUCGGACACGAACGCGCUUAGGAUGCUGGCAUAAUGGCUUUAAACGACCCGUCUUGUAACACGGACCAAGGAGUCUAA